GGGAAAGGGGCAGCAUUUGUGGGAACGCAACUGCUGGGAGUGGAGCUAUGCUGGAUGCCGUGCAAAUGGUCUGAAAACAGAAGAGGUUAGUGACAGACAAGUAGAAGCUGCUAGAGAGCCUGCAGCAGUGCUCCAGUCAUUGGAUUCAAGCCUGUGGUCCACAUGACAGUACUCAAGUUAUUCAAGAAAGCUUCUUACCAUGCCUUUUAGUUCAGCACCGCCAUCUAAAGGAUGUGACAGUGAGGAUACUGUUGGCUGUCCUGCCAGAAACAACAUUAGUUCCUGCAAACACACUUUUAUGUGAAGCCUGUAUCCAGCUGUCAGAAGAGAGCCACCAUGAAAACGGGCAGAGAAAAACUAUCAGGAAAUAACAAGUUAGGAAUAAGUUCAGUCUCAACAUAAGUUCAGCAUGACCCAAAAUGUGAGGAGCAUUAUCAGAAUUGUACGCCUCCUACCUCAUACCUUUUUACUUUGCUGAAUGCUCUGGGGGUGAAGGAUAACAGCUGGUGCUCACAGAGGGGCAAGUCUAUUAUCAUUCCUUUCUGGUAACUUCAUUUGCUCUGUUAGCACUUGAUCUUAAUGAUAAUUCUCAAGUAAUUGAUCUGGGACAGUUGAAGCUCUUUCUAUGCUAAUUAAAUGGAUUGUAUGCUAGUAACUGAAUGUGGAAAAUGCAGUGCUUUAGGGUGAUUAAUUAAAAGUUCCUGACAGAGUUUGUAACUUAGGUGAGUCUUUAAUAGAUAAGAUGAAAUAGAGUAAAUAGUUGCUUAAUUCACCUUUGCAUGAAUGAAUCAAUUUUUAAUGUAGUAAUUUUUUCAUUUUAGCCAGUCCCAAUUUAAUUGCUUUUUUUUUUUUUAAAAAAAAAAGUCAGAAGUCUGUUUGUUGGCUUUAAACUUAGUAGUGUGGGAUUUGUCCAUUGCAAUUAGUAUCAACAGCAACACAUUAUACACAUUAAUUACGGGCUUUGGAUUUAUUUUGUAUUGUUUAUAUAUUGUUCAAUUUAAAUAGUGGGUUUGCAAGAACAGCAACUUGUACCAUACAUUGACUCCAGGAACACUAGUCACAGUGUUAAAUAGAGAAGUGUUUAUAGUCUUAAGGCUUCAAAUACUGUUGGAGUUGUGAAGGCUCUUCAUGGAGUGGCUUUGAGUAGCUGUGAGUAGCUUUGCUUUUCCAAGUAAUCAGAUGAAUAAAAACUUCUGAUUAUUGUAAAAAAUCACUAUUUAUGCAAAGCUCAGUGGAAACCAUCAAGUUUCACAAGACAGCUCAAUGACACAAAUCCAGUUGCCGUAUCAGGACCAAACUUGCCCACAUGUGCAGUACUUGCCAAGACCAAGCUCUGCUUGAAUAGACAGCAACAGCACAGGAAAUACUCCAUGUAUCUAAUUCUACUUAAAACUUUAUGACAAUUGCAGUAGGAAGAACCAAUUUUUCAUUGGGAAUUACUGGUACUAGAAUGUGAAUUUAUGCAGGUGGAUACAACUAAAUUGCCCUUGUUUGCUUCUUUUUUUCUCAAGGCACAUUAAAUUUAACCUUUAACUUUUUCUCUCUGCUGCUCGUCAGUUAGUAUUUAGAUUGUAUGUAAAUAUGUUUUUCAGAAAUGUGAUGUAUGUUAUUUAUGUUGGAUGCUUUUUCAAAGAGAACAAGCUGCUACAUUUUAUUGUAGGAAGUAAGCAACUGCCACCUGGACCAUGGUUCCAAUUAUGCUGUAGCCACCUGUUGCAGGAAUUAUGCUAUCACCACCUCUGACUUCACUUGGUUCAACCCUACUUGAAUGCCUCAAAUCAAAUCAGCUCAUUAUUAAAAUAGUGGUCAUUUAUUAAUAUAA